AAUGGACACACAGACGGCAAAGUUUUCGAUUACAUUGUAACAUACGAAUUGUAAGAACCCAUAUUUCGCGUGUGAGGCAGUUUAAAGAAAAGAAACACGAACGCUGCUGAAGAGGUCGAUGUAUAAAAACAAAAAUGUGAUUUGAGGUGCGACGGUGAACUACACUGUGUUGCCUAUGUAUGAGAAGUUCUGCCAAACUAAUAGUGGAAUCUCGAUAAACGGAAAUCGCUUAAACGGCACUGCCGCUUAAACGCAACACCAUCCUCAUGGUUGGUUGGUUUUGUAUUCAUGCAAUGCUCUCUGCAAUCAGCUUAGUUUCUCAGUAUA
rnacentral:lncRNA from 1 species